GUGCCAGCAGCCGCGGUAAUACGGAGGGUGCGAGCGUUAAUCGGAAUUACUGGGCGUAAAGCGCACGUAGGAGGCGAGAUCAGUCAGAUGUGAAAUCCCCGGGCUCAACCUGGGAAUUGCAUUUGAUACUGUCUUGCUAGAGUCUGGCAGAGGUAAGCGGAAUUCCGGGUGUAGCGGUGGAAUGCGUAGAUAUCCGGAAGAACACCAGUGGCGAAGGCGGCUUACUGGGCCAAGACUGACUCUGAGGUGCGAAAGCGUGGGGAGCGAACAGGAUUAGAUACCCUGGUAGUCCACGCCGUAAACGAUGUCAACUAGCCGUUGGACCCGUUUGAGGGUCAAGUGGUGCAGCUAACGCGAUAAGUUGACCGCCUGGGGAGUACGGCCGCAAGGUUGAAACUCAAAUAAAUUGACGG
rnacentral:rRNA from 1 species